ACUCACACACAUACAGUAGCCCACAUGUGCCCAUGGAUACACUCAGACACAUGCAAAACGAGCUGAGGGCUACACUUGCACGUCUCCUGACGUUGUGGAUGGGAGGUUGGGAUGUAAAGCGGGAUGGGUUAAUAAACCAUGCUUCAUUUGCUGAUGAAGUCUUGAUGCAGGAGUGGGCAGUCUUGCUUUAAGACAUGUGAUCUGACUCUCUCUCAGUUCUCUCUCUCUCUCUCUCUCUCUCUCUCUCUCUCUCUCUCUCUUCCCAGCUGGGCUACAUUGUAAUACACACACACACACACACACACACAAACACACAGAGACACACGCACGCACGCUUGCUCACACACUCGCUCUGCCUCUCUGACACAGACUCUACUUAGUGUGUUGGAGAGAGCACUGAGGCUCACACUAUCAGCACAGCUUCUCAAUGGGGGGACGCAGCCAAGAGCAGACAGAGCAGUCAUUCCACUGGAGCCUUCCGCUGCACGCGUGAGGAGGAGACGACAAGUGAGGGGCGUAAAUUAGCUCCCUGUCAUCACAACAUAGGAGUUCUACUGACGGAGAGGAGACACAGACUGAAGGAGGGAAGAGGAGAAGAGAUCUGCACGUAUGUGGCUGAUACAGCAGUGACAUGAUCAGCCUGCCAUCCCUCAAUUCCAUGGCCAGUUUGUGACACAGACCCCUGGGUGUUUUGCUUUUGGUGACUGUGUUGCCAAGGAUUUCCAAAAAAAAAAAAAAAAAAAAAAAAAAAAAAAAAAAGAAACAGAGCAGCAGGGGUCUGUAGGAGGGAAUACUGAGGAAAAGAACAGCAUUUUGAGCUCCUGUUGUGCGGUGUCUGGCUUAUCAGAGUACUGGAAUUUGGCGCGGGAAUCCCUGGCUUCAAAGUAUGGAUGGAUAUAAGACAGAGGAGUGAGUCUGCUGGGCAGGCAGGCAGGCUGUGAUUCUGACUGAGCUCCUUUUCCUCCUGAACGCACUGCUCAGACUCGGCCUUACCAUGUCCUGGUUGUUGGCCAUGUGGAUUAGCCUCGGCUUCCUGCUGUUGUGCCAGGCCACACUCUACCAGACCAUCCAGCAGCACCAUGUGGCCCGGCCCGGUCGCACCGACAUUCUCACCCUGGAGGGAGGUACAUGUGAGGUGAUUGCCGCCCAUCGGUGCUGUAACAAGAAUCGUAUUGAGGAGCGUUCUCAGACAGUCAAGUGCUCCUGUUUACCGGGGAAAGUGGCCGGGACGACACGCAACAAACCCUCCUGUGUGGAUGCGUCCAUUGUAAUUGGGAAAUGGUGGUGUGAGAUGGAACCGUGUCUGGAGGGAGAAGAGUGUAAGACUCUGCCUGACAACUCUGGAUGGAUGUGCUCCUCUGGGAACAAAAUCAAGACCACACGGAACACCCAGCCAUACUCCCCUUUUUAGCUUCCGGAAGCAAAAUGCAGAGGAUGCGUCAACAGAAAUUGAGCUGCAUUCUUGCUUCUGUAAAGAUUCAUCCCAGGACCUAACAGAGAGCUCCCAUUGCAGGGCUGCGUGCCAGGCUCUUCCCCUCAUCUACCCUUUCUCUUCCCACCAAACGGACUAAAACUAUUACAUCCACGGCUACUGACUGGAUUACCUGGGACCACAGAAAGGAUAUCCACCCAGAUAAAACAGCUUUGCUCGCGUGGUGCCAAGGAUUUGAAACCAGACUAAUCCCCUGUUUGAUCAAUGAGCCCCAUGUUGGUGACUCUCCUCUUCCACACAGCUGUGGCCAGUUACCGACCUACUCUCUCUCUGUUUCCCUCUCUCUGUCUCCCCCCUCAGAAACUGAAACAGCUUAGCAGGGGUUAUUUAGAGGUUGUUAAAACAUCAUUUGAAGACAUUCGCCCCGUCUGCCUGAAGGUAAACGGGCUGAGGAGCUUACAUGGACCUCAACAUAGGAUCCACAGAACUGUGGGAGAGAAAAUUACCUUGAUAUCCUUUUAUUUCUGUGUGGAAGACAUUUGUAUCAGACUCAGUACUUUAGCAGGAUGGCUUUGCUGUGAAGACAUGGAUGAGAUUUAGCUGAAAAACACUGGAUUUUCUGUGAACACAACCACUAGCAGCCUAUAAUGCUAUAAUGAAGAGUCUCUAGGAGGCUUUAGCGUCUGCUCCCAUGGCCUCACCUUCACAAUACACGAUGGACAUUUGAAUUUGACUUUUAUUCGUGGGCAUGCCCAAUGUAAAUUCAUGAGCAGUUAAUUUCUUUGUAUGUAAGAUAAUUUGUGUAUAUAUACAUAUAUAAAUACAUUACAUAUAAGAUGACAGAUCCAAGAAGCUGAAAAAUAUAUUUAAGACUCUAUUAGGAGCUCCAAAUAUUGAUCAGCCCCUGAAUAUAAUGCAGAGGUUGUUGUCCCAGUACGGUGUGUAUAGGACUGCUUUGCAGUGUAUGCUUGCAUUGGAAAAAGCCACAAUGGAAUCAUAAAAAUAAGUCUUGGUCACUUUCGUCAUUCAGCAAUUCUGUUGGUUAAGCCAGAAAAUGCUUGUAGUUUCUGUAAAGUUGAGGAAAACACUGUAUAGAACUGCCUCACAAAAGACAGCAGCACUAACAACAACCCCUGAGCUUUCCACUUCCGAUACAUUAGGGACUUAGAACAGCAUCAGGAAAAACUGGGACCAUAAUCGGACAUUUAGUGUCUGUUUCAGCUGUGGAGACUGGUCAUGGACCGACAACUUUACUGUGUUUGUCGUAUAGAUCUCCCUCUCACACACCAGAGAGAGAUGAUUUAUUCAAAAUGACAGUGAGAAAGUAUUAGUCACAAUGGAGAAACAUAUAGUUAUCCCCCAGUAGAUAUAAGUACAUUACAGGACAGCCUUAUGAGAAAUAAAAAUGGUUUUCUAUACUGA